CCCUUAGAUGUUCUGGGCCGCACGCGCGCUACACUGAUGCAUUCAACGAGCCUAUCCUUGACCGACAGGUCCGGGUAAUCUUUGAAUCUGCAUCGUGACGGGGAUAGAUUAUUGCAAUUAUUAAUCUUCAACGAGGAAUGCCUAGUAGGCGCAAGUCAUCAGCUUGCGUCGAUUACGUCCCUGCCCUUUGUACACACCGCCCGUCGCUCCUACCGAUUGGGUGUGCUGGUGAAAUGUUCGGAUCGGCCGUUUGUCGCGGUUUCCGCGGCUCGUGGCUGAGAAGUUCAUUAAACCCUCCCACCUAGAGGAAGGAGAAGUCGAAACA
rnacentral:rRNA from 1 species